rnacentral:rRNA from 1 species
CGGCGGCAGAUUUGGUGCGCCGGGUCGAUUAGCCAUGCUAGUUGCACGAGUUCAGACUCGUAGCAGAUAGCUCAGUAACACGUGGCCAAACUACCCUAUGGAUCCGGAUACCCUCGGGAAACUGAGACUAAUCCGGAAUACCACUCGAUGCCUGGAACUGGCUCGAGUGCGAAACGCUCCGGCGCCAUAGGAUGUGGCUGCGGCCGAUUAGGUAGACGGUGGGGUAACGGCCCACCGUGCCGAUAAUCGGUACGGGUUGUGAGAGCAAGAGCCCGGAGACGGUAUCUGAGACAAGAUACCGGGCCCUACGGGGCGCAGCAGGCGCGAAACCUUUACACUGCACGACAGUGCGAUAAGGGGACUCCAAGUGCGAGGGCAUAUAGUCCUCGCUUUUCACGACCGUAAGGUGGUCGUAGAAUAAGUGCUGGGCAAGACCGGUGCCAGCCGCCGCGGUAAUACCGGCAGCACGAGUGAUGACCGCUAUUAUUGGGCCUAAAGCGUCCGUAGCUGGCCUCGCAAGUCCAUCGGGAAAUCUGUCCGCUUAACGGACAGGCGUCCGGUGGAAACUGCGUGGCUUGGGACCGGAAGAUCCAGAGGGUACGUCUGGGGUAGGAGUGAAAUCCCGUAAUCCUGGACGGACCGCCGGUGGCGAAAGCGCUCUGGAAAGACGGAUCCGACGGUGAGGGACGAAAGCUCGGGUCACGAACCGGAUUAGAUACCCGGGUAGUCCGAGCUGUAAACGAUGUCUGCUAGGUGUGACACAGGCUACGAGCCUGUGUUGUGCCGUAGGGAAGCCGUGAAGCAGACCGCCUGGAAAGUACGUCCGCAAGGAUGAAACUAAAGGAAUUGGCGGGGGAGCACUACAACCGGAGGAGCCUGCGGUUUAAUUGGACUCAACGCCGGACAUCUCACCAGCAUCGACAACGUGCCGUGAAGGUCAUGUGAGGAGCUUACUGGAGCCGUUGAGAGGAGGUGCAUGGCCGCCGGUCACCUCGUACCGUGAGGCGUCCCUGUAAAUCAUGCAACAGCCGAGACCCGCCCUCCUAAUUUGCCAGCAACCACCUUUGUGGUGGUUGGGUACAUUAGGAGGACUUGCCAGUCCCAAA